UACGGGGGGGGCAAGCGUUGUUCGGAAUUACUGGGCGUAAAGAGCUCGUAGGUGGUUUGUCGCGUUGUCCGUGAAAACUCACAACUCAAUUGUGGGCGUGCGGGCGAUACGGGCAGACUGGAGUACUGCAGGGGAGACUGGAAUUCCUGGUGUAGCGGUGGAAUGCGCAGAUAUCAGGAGGAACACCGGUGGCGAAGGCGGGUCUCUGGGCAGUAACUGACGCUGAGGAGCGAAAGCGUGGGGAGCGAACAGG
rnacentral:rRNA from 1 species